AUACAUUCAUAUACGGGAGAGGACUGGAUAUCAGACUUUAGACCUCAACAAGAAACCCUCCCAUGUUGAGACACUCGGGCUACAACUGACCUAUGGAACUCAAAAACAGCCUGACUGCUCAGGCAGGUGGAAGAAGGCCUUGAAUUUCACAUUUAUGCUCUCAAAGUUUGAUAUGGCACUCAAGACUAAGUCACAGAUGCCAACUUCACAGCAUGUGAAUUCUUUGCAGUAUUCAUUGGAAUUAUGCUAAUGUAAUAAAAUACAUUUAUGUUUGAAUGCGCUCAAA